rnacentral:rRNA from 1 species
GCAAGUCGAACGAGAAAGUUCCUUCGGGAACGAGUAAAGUGGCGCACGGGUGCGUAACACGUGGAUAAUCUGCCCUUCGGUAAGGGAAAACAUUUCGAAAGGAAUGCUAAUACUUUAUAUGACCACAGUAUCUCCGGAUACAGAGGUAAAAGGUGGCCUCUUCUUGAAAGCCAUCGCCCGAGGAUGAGUCUGCGGAACAUUAGCUUGUUGGUGGGGUAAAAGCCUACCAAGGCAAAGAUGUUUAGCUGGUCUGAGAGGAUGAUC